rnacentral:lncRNA from 1 species
CUCAACUAAAUUCUCUGGCCCUCGGUUUUUGUCAUUGUGGGAUCUGUAAACCGAGGACAGUGACAUUCCUUUGCAGGGUUGUUGGGGGGAAUAAACAGUCUCAUGUGGGGAGUCUCGUCAGCAUGCUUAUGCUUGGGUAAUGGAUGAGGCAGCUGGAGCCCAGUUCUCAGGGUGAACCAGUUGAAAUCUGUGACUCUCACUCAUGCUCUGUGCCCACGGCGUGUUGAGGGGGGACUCCCAUUGUUGUCAUCCCUAGGAGACCCAGGCUGAAGGAGCAGCCAGCAUCAAAUAACGCAUGUUGCUGUGCCGAGACGGAAAAGAGAGCUCUGGAGGGUCUUGCAUUGACAGGUAAAUGCUUUGGCUUGGAAAGGAUGCUUCUCACCGCUCAGUGGCCUGAGCGGGUCACACGGCCCCACCCAAGGAUUGCACAAGAAUCCCAGAGGUGCACCUAUCCCGUGCCCAGGAAGAGAGCCAUGCGUUGGCGAGGACCACUGAUUACCCCAGAGGUGGGAAUGGAAGUAAGAAGCUUGAGAGAUGGAAUCUAAGAAGCAUUGGGAAGAGACGUCUUGAGCAGGAGGAUCCCCCCCAAUCCAUACGCCCUCCCCACACUGAGUUCUGUAGAUCGUAAGUCUGGGUCGGCUCAGCUGGUUUCUCUGCUCCGGGCUUCUCAAGCCCAGUCAACGACGCACUGGCCGGCCAGGCUCCUUUCCUGAGGCUCUGGGAAGAUCUACUUGCCAACGCAUUCAAGUUCAUGGCAGAAUUGUUUCUGGCGACUGCAGGACAGAGGCCCCAUUUCCUUUCUGUCAGCUGGGGGCCACCCUCAGCUCCUGGAGGCCUCUUCAGUGCUCGAACGGGUCCCGCAGCUCAGAAGCAGCAGUGAGCGUCCAAGCCUUCUCAAGCCACACGCCUUGACUUCGCUCCUGCCACCUCUCUUGGUUCUUUUUGGUGAGCCCUUAAGGGCUCAUGCGAUUACAGUGGACCCCCCUGGAUCAGCUCCCUAUUUUAGGGCCAGCUGACUAGCACUUAACUGCGUCUGCAAAGUCCCUCACAGCAGUACCUAGAUUAGGUCUGACUGAAUGACUGAAUAACCAGACUGAAUCUCGGGGGCACAGCUUUAGAGUUCUGCCUACGGCAAGCAGGGUAGGAUGGAUGGGCUGCCAAGACAUCCACAGGGGGGAACGAAGUCAGAAGUUCACACCACCAGCUUCGAUUGUCUUUGAAACAGGAGUCAAGAUUAUCUGACAAAUAUGAAGUCUUAAGUGCAGAUGUUCAGUGCUUAUAUUCAAAAUAUCUAGUGUAUAAACUUGAAAAGCUUAUUUCAAGAAGUGACUGGUACAUUCAAAUUAGGCAGCGUUUCUUGGAUUUGACAAUGACCAGCAUUAUUAUGAGGACUAAAUAUGUUAAUAUAGCAGUUCUCAAAUGUUUUGGUCUCUGGAUCCCUUUAUACUCUAAAAAACUAUUGAGGAUUCCCAAGAGCUUAUGUUUAUUUUG